AACGAACGCUGGCGGCAGGCUUAACACAUGCAAGUCGAGCGCCCCGCAUGGGGAGCGGCAGACGGGUGAGUAACGCGUGGGAAUCUACCCAUCUCUACGGAAUAACGCAUGGAAACGUGUGCUAAUACCGUAUACGUCCUUCGGGAGAACGUUUUAUCGGAGAUGGAUGAGCCCGCGUUGGAUUAGCAAGUUGGAGGGGUAAAGGCCUACCAAGGCGACGAUCCAUAGCUGGUCUGAGAGGAUGAUCAGCCACACUGGGACUGAGACACGGCCCAGACUCCUACGGGAGGCAGCAGUGGGGAAUAUUGGACAAGGGGCGCAGGCCUGAUCCAGCCAUGCCGCGUGGGUGAUGAAGGCCCUAGGGUUGUAAAGCUCUUUCACCGGUGAAGAUAAUGAUGGUAACCGGAGAAGAAGCCCCGGCUAACUUCGUGCCAGCCGCCGCCGUAACAC
rnacentral:rRNA from 1 species